GAGGGUGUACCUCAUGAUAGAGUGUGUGCUUAGCAUGCACGAGGUCCUGGGUUCAAUCCCCAGUACCUCCA
rnacentral:tRNA from 1 species